GAAAUGAAAGGAAGCGAAAGGAAAAGAAAAGAAAGGAUAGGAAAAGAAAGGAAAGGAAAUGAAAGGAAAGGAAAGGAAAGGAAAUGAAAGGAAAGGAAAAGAAAGGAAAAGGAAGGAAAGGAAAACGAAAAGAAAGGAAAGGAAAAUGAAGGACAAAGAAACGAAAAGAAAUGAAAUAGGAUAAGAGAGGAAGGGAAAUGAAAGGGAAAGGAAAAGAGAGGAAAAGGAAAGAAAGGACAGGAAAUAAAGCAAAACGAAAGGAAAG
rnacentral:lncRNA from 1 species